rnacentral:rRNA from 1 species
UACGGGGGGGGCAAGCGUUGUUCGGAAUUACUGGGCGUAAAGGGCGCGUAGGCGGGUGGAUAAGUCAGCUGUGAAAACCACGGGCUUAACUCGUGGCCUGCAGUUGAGACUGUCUGGCUUGAGUGUGGGAGAGGAGAGUGGAAUUCCUGGUGUAGUGGUGAAAUGCGUAGAUAUCGGGAGGAACACCAGUGGCGAAGGCGGCUUUCUGGUCUGCUCUUGACGCUGAGGCGCGAAAGCUAGGGUAGCAAACGGG